ACUAACUCACCAUCAAUAACUAGUAUAUCGCUCAUCUGUUGUUGAUUAUGGGUCGCUACCUUUACAAAUGAUUCUCAUGGACUCCAAGAGAAAGUCCUAUAUUUUCUAAUAGAAAGAGAAUAUACAGUACCUUGAUCAGAUUCUGAAUAUUUGCAGCCCCAGCUACUGUGUGAGUCUUAUUUGUGUGGGGUAUAAACAAUGGCUUCAGGUUAACCAUCCAUGUUGAGUGACCAGUACAGUUGAGGUGGUGGGAGGUAGCAGCCUGACAGCUAUCAUGGCAGGUCUCUAUCAAGCCAGUGACUUAAUUUCCUUCCUUUCCCAGGUUUGAUAAGUAGCAGCAGGAGAUGGAACUGGCCACAGCCCAGGAAGAGAGAGUCCUGCAGAAAGACCUGCUGUAUCAGGAGCCCCCUGCUGAGCCCCAUCCACUGAAACCACAGAAUCCCUUGGGCUCAGAAACUCAUGUAUGAAUCUGGCCUCAAACUUGAUGCAUAGCCAAGGAUGACCUUGAACUUCUGCCUCUGCUUCCUGGGUGUUGGGGAUGGAAACCAGACUUUUGUGUAUACUAGGAUCACCAGUAUCCCCAGCUGCCUCUGAAUUCACUAUGUAAGCCCAAUGCAAGCCCUGGCAGAUGUCUUCAACACCAGAGUGACACUCAGC
rnacentral:lncRNA from 1 species